GUUUAGUUCGUGCAGUAGGAGUGAGCAACUAUGGACCAAAGCAGCUGCUGAAAAUAUACAAAUAUCUUGAUGACCGAGGAGUACCUUUGCGCUCCGCCCAGGUACAAUUUUCAUUGCUAAGUAUGGGAAGUGAUCAGAUGGAGAUAAAAAAUAUAUGUGAUUCACUAGGCAUACGGGUCAUAGCAUACAGUCCUCUGGGUCUUGGUAUGCUCACUGGUAAAUAUACGCCCUCUAAUCUUCCACCUGGGCCAAGGGGAUUACUCUUUAGACAAAUUUUGCCUGGAUUGGAGCCUCUACUUACCUCACUGAGAGAAAUAGCUCAAAGACGUCGGAAAACAGUACCACAGGUAGCUAUCAACUGGUGUAUAUGCAAGGGUACAAUUCCUAUCCCUGGAAUCAAGUCUGUAAAACAAACUGAAGAGAACCUAGGAGCCCUUGGUUGGCAACUCAGUUCUGAUGAAUUGCUCCAAUUAGAAUUCGCAGCUCUUGAUUCUCCACAGAAGAUGAUCCAAAACGUAUUUCAGACAAAGUGACAACUUCUCCAAAUAAUCAAUAUGUUUAGGAAGAGAUACUUACAUAUAGAAGGCAAUAUUCGAGCUAAAGGAUAUCAAUGAACACAUUUGGAUCAUUAGCUCUUCCAAAAUGCAUAUUCUCAAAUAUCUGCAAGGUAGCU
rnacentral:misc_RNA from 1 species